rnacentral:rRNA from 1 species
GCAUCGAUGAAGAACGCAGCGAAAUGCGAUAAGUAAUGUGAAUUGCAGAAUUCAGUGAAUCAUCGAAUCUUUGAACGCACAUUGCGCCCCUUGGUAUUCCGAGGGGCAUGCCUGUUCGAGCGUCAUUACACCACUCAAGCUAUGCUUGGUAUUGGGCGUCGUCCUUAGUUGGGCGCGCCUUAAAGACCUCGGCGAGGCCACUCCGGCUUUAGGCGUAGUAGAAUUUAUUCGAACGUCUGUCAAAGGAGAGGAACUCUGCCGACUGAAACCUUUAUUUUUCUAGGUUGACCUCGGAUCAGGUAGGGAUACCCGCUGAACUUAAGCAUAUCAAUAAGCGGAGGA